rnacentral:rRNA from 5 species
GCGACCCCAGGAUGGGCGAGGCCACCCGCCG